UGGGGAAUAUUGCACAAUGGGCGAAAGCCUGAUGCAGCAACGCCGCGUGAGUGAUGAAGGCCUUCGGGUUGUAAAGCUCUGUCUUUUGGGACGAUAAUGACGGUACCAAAGGAGGAAGCCACGGCUAACUACGUGCCAGCAGCCGCGGUAAUACGUAGGUGGCAAGCGUUGUCCGGAUUUACUGGGCGUAAAGGAUGCGUAGGCGGGAUAGUCAGUCUGUUGUAAAAGUGCGGGGCUCAACCCGUGAUCGCAAUGGAAACAGCUAUUCUUGAGUGCAGGAGAGGAAAGUGGAAUUCCCAGUGUAGCGGUGAAAUGCGUAGAUAUUGGGAGGAACACCAGUGGCGAAGGCGACUUUCUGGACUGUGUCUGACGCUGAGGCGCGAAAGCCAGGGGAGCGAACGGGAUUAGAUACCCCGGUAGUCCUGGCCGUAAACGAUGAGUACUAGGUGUAGGAGGUAUCGACCCCUUCUGUGCCGCAGUUAACACAAUAAGUACUCCGCCUGGGAAGUACGAUCGCAAGAUUAAAACUCAAAGGAAUUGACGGGGUCAUAGCUGUUU
rnacentral:rRNA from 1 species